rnacentral:rRNA from 1 species
GAUAAACGCUGGCGGCAUGCCUAAUACAUGCAAGUCGAACGAGAUUUAGUGGAAGAUUUAUCUGAAGCUAAUGAAAGUGGCGGACGGGUGAGUAACGCGUGAACAAUCUACCUCAUACUGGGGAAUAGCCCCGAGAAAUUGGGAAUAAAACCGCAUAAGACCACAGCAUCGCAUGAUGCAGUGGUAAAAACUCCGGUGGUAUGAGAAGAGUUCGCGUCUGAUUAGCUAGUUGGUGAGGUAAUGGCCCACCAAGGCGACGAUCAGUAGCCGGCCUGAGAGGGUGUACGGCCACACUGGAACUGAGACACGGACCAGACACCUACGGGAGGCUG